rnacentral:rRNA from 4 species
UGACCUCGGAUCAGGUAGGGAUACCCGCUGAACUUAAGCAA